CCCUACCUCUUUCCCUAAAUGCUACCCCUCACCUUGACAGGAAUCCACUGAUCUAAUCCUUAACCUCAGAGCAUUUCUUGAAGCCCAAACCCAUAACCUCUUAGUUUUACCCCAUGGCUCACCCUUAAUCCUAGCCUUUAUUCCUAGCAAUGAAAGGUCAGCCUUAUCCCUAGCCCUCGCCCCAGCCCUACACAAAACCCCAACCCACAAAGCUAGUUCAUACCCUAAAUAGUGACCAGGCACCCUAAGCAGAACACCAAACCAGCCCCUAAACCUUUGCCUAGUCCCUAACCCCCAAAGGUGAGCUCUAAUCACUAGACCCUAACCUGACUUGACAACAGGACAGUAGUGCCUCAGGACCUCAUGGGCCAGCAGGAGCCACGUGGUGGUGAAGGUGGCUGUGAGGUCACUUCUGCCUAAAUACAUGAUAGGCCACCUUCAGGCACAUGGCUGGUGUAUGUAUAUGUGAUCUCAGCUGUGUGUAAGGAAUUGAUAGACCACCAAUAUCCAUUUGGUUUGAAUAGUGAUAGCCACUCCUGCCCUUGUACCUUACACGACAGGCAUAGCUUUCUCCUGUCCAUCAGAGAAGCUGACAGGCCAACAAUGCUUCUGGUGUUACAAUCAGCUUGCUUUUAUCUAUUCAGCUGCUGGGCCACAAGGAGGGAGCCAGGCAGACCUCAGUAGCUCCAUGCCACAGUUGUCUGCCAUGGCCCUUCAGGAACUGUAGAUGGAAACUGGGCAGAGGGUUGCAGGGCAUCUACACUGGCACCAGGUGUUUGUUUGCCUGUAACUGAAGACAUCUGUGUCCCUGUAGCAGCAUCCCACCCCAGCUCUGGAAACCACUUUCCUACUUUCAUUUUCAAACAAAAACAUCACUGAGAAUCCCCCUGGACACCAGUGUAUUAAACAAAACCAAAACAACCAUGUUGCCCCAAAAGUUGUUCGUGGAGAGAUGCUGCUAGGAACUGGCUGCCAGUUGCACUUUGCACUAUUGAUGAUAUUAUUUUGGCCUGAUAGUCAAAUGGAUUUUCCACCUGCCUACGGCCCACUGAUCUAGUGUAGACCCUUAGAACCAAGUGGCAAGACCUUGAUCAGGUGAUAGUUCAGAAGAGCACUCUCUUCUCCUUGUGCACAGAG
rnacentral:lncRNA from 1 species